AGAAAGGUAUAAAUAAAGAUGAUAACAACAGCAGCAACAAUGCUUUGCCUUCGGUCUAAUCAAGAUCUGUAGGUUUUGCUGUUCACCAAGCCAUAAUGGGGCACCCCGUGCCAAAGUCCAAUUCUGCCUUUUCUUGGUAGCUGAUUUCUUAGGCUUUUCCUUUGGUUAGAUCCUGAAACCCCUGUAUGCCCUAGUACUCUUCCUGCUUUCUACUGAAACAAUUGUCAAGAUAAUGGUAUUGUACAUUUACCUGACUAAGCCUUUAUGCACUACUAUAAAAAAGUGCUGAAGCAUUCAAAUAUAGCCUUGUAAUAAGGGCAGUCAUCGCUUCUUUCCUGGAGUAGAUUUUAAAAAUAGCAUACAAUCCCAACCGAAAAGUUGGUAACAGCAGAAGACUUACAAUAGUCAGGGCAUUUUGAGUGGUCCUGUCAGUUCAUGCCUACAAGCAACCUUUAGUCAAGUUGAACAUGUUCAUGCAAUUUACACAUUUUGUUCUAAUUUGUAAAAAGAUGAAUGGACACCAACAAGUGACAGAAAAAGAUUGGUGUGCACUGCAUAAUUAUAGUGCUUUAAUACCACUAUAAAUGCCAUUGCUACAGAAUCCUGAAUUUUAUAGUUUAGCUGUAAUUCCAGGUGGAUAGGCUUGAGCUUUUUGAGGAAAGAAAUGCACGUAUCUCAUGAAGCUAGAAUUCCAUGAAGUAGUACCAUGGAAAUUUAAGGCAACACCAGUAUGCUGUAACUCUGUUGUAUAGAUACACUCAAAGAAAAAACAUAGAAAUGAUAUUGUUAUCUUGUGUUUAUCUUGAUUGAUACACAAAGCAGCUUACAACAUUAAAAAGGGGCAGUUUAAAGUCUACACUGUACAAAUAUUAAAAUAGAAUGAAACAAACUAUUCAGUUAAAUCCCUUAAAAUCCUUUAAACAAUUAAUAACUGUUAAAAUAUUGGGUAUGUGGCUCUAUGGCAUUCCCCAGACUCACUCUCAAAAACUUUCUUCUUUAAAAGCCUGUGUAAGUAAAGAUGUCUUAGUCUGCAAGCAGAAAAAUAGCAGGGAGGAGGCCAUUCUGGCUUCUCUGGGUAAAAGAGAGUUCUAAAGUCAAAGGGCAACCACCAAAAAAGAAGGCCCUCUCUCUCAUUCCUACCAACCGAGCUUGAGAUGGUGAUGGGACUGAGAGAAGGUUCUCUCCUAAGGAUCUCAGGUCCGGGCUGGUUCAUGCCAGUGGAUACGAUCUGCCAGUAGCCAGCACCUAAGCCAUGUAGGGCUUUAUCUAUAUAAAUAAAAGCAAAAAUAUGUAUGUAUGUAUGUAUGUAUGUAUGUAUGUAUGUAUGUAUUUUCCAGAAUGGUUCCCACAUCCAGAGAGCCCUGUGACUUCCACUGACAAUGGAUGUAGCAUGUUUACCUAUCAUGAACCAUGUUAAGAUAAUGGCAGAUGUUUUUUUUUUGGCCUGUGGACUUUACCUGGAAUGAUGGGAGCUAAUGGGAGUUGUUCACCCACAUUCAGAGAGCACUGUGAACCUCGCCAAUGAUGGAUCCUUCCCAAACUUGGCACAUAUAAGCAAUAUGACCAACUUUACCUACGGUGCAGUUUGGAAAUGAGUGAUGGUGAUGGUUGUUGGAAUUUAUCCAAAUUCUUAUGCAUUUUCUAAUUGGACUAUUCAUAAAAUCCAAAACCAAACCAUGACUUCUAACAAAUAGCGUUACAAAAUACCUAACCUGGGCAUCAAUUGGUACCUAAGCUAGAAGGUCAUAAUCACUUUGAAUAAUUCCAGAAAUAGACCAGCAGCCAGUGGAACUGUAACAGCAGGAGAAUUGUGUGCUCCUUAUAGCUAGCCCCAGUUAGCAAUCUAGCAGUCACCCUUCGGAUCAGGCAAAGUUAAACCUUCAUGUUCCUACAAUGUCUGAUUGGCGGUCAUAAUUGUUCUAGUUAAGUAAAUGGCACUUAAAGGACAAAUACAAUACAGGCUAGUGAAACUGACUUGAUGUGAUCUUUUUCUUCCAAAUCUGAACAGAGACUCCGGUUGACUACAUCACUGCAAGAAGUAAUUGUCUCAUAUGGAGGACUGAGACCAAUUUUCUACAUUUUGAUCUUUUGCAGUUUAUGGAUGCUCAUGAAUCCUCCUCCAUACUGAAAUAGUGAUUUAAGAAAGCUAUGAAACCAUCUGGGCAAGUGCUAGGAAAAUACAGGGGUACUUAGAUAUAGAAGAUGAUGCCUGUUCUAUUUCUCCAUUAAAACUGGGCUGAGACAUUAGUUUGGUACCAUUACUCUUAGUUCCCAGCCUCUUGCCUGUCUGUGUGACGCUUAAUUCUAGCCAUUUCUACAAGCUUUCUGGGUUAAUCCUUUUAAAAUCAAGUUCUCAAAAUAGCAUGAAGGUUUUGUCAAGCAUAGAAAAGUGCUAGAUUUUUAAAAAAUGUAUUGUCUAGUUCUUUUUGUCUAUUUUUCUUUUGCUGUACACAUUUGAGGCCAUGGAAACAUGCAGGGUAAUAUUUUAUGGGACACACUGUAAAUAUGCAAGGUGUUUCUUUCUUGACACAUCAUUUUUACAACCAAAAUGUAGAUGAGCAGGAGUAGUGACAUAACAAGAUUCCAGUAUUCAUGACAACUAUCCUUUGGGAAUAAAGAUGUGGAAAAACAUGCUCUCUGUGUCUCAUUAGACAUUUAGGAUGCAAUUGUGUGUGCCUACUUUUCAUCACGUUGGGAUGCUGCUUUCCUAAGUGAUGCAUUCCCUAAGAAGAACAGAAAGCAAUCUGUUGUUGUAUUCCUCCUCCUCCUCCUCCUCCUCAAUUAACCAAUGCUGAAAGCAGUUAAAGACUACUCGCCUUUUAAAAACUAUUAGGUGCAAGCAAAAACAGCAAUCCUAGAUUCUGGUUCUUGCCCUUUCUCUCCAUUGUGUUAGACCCUGAUAACAGGGCCAAGUAGAGUACUUCUGCAAUAGAGUCCAAAUCCCAGCAAGAACCUCCAAUUUUUGUUUUAAUAUAAAUAAUUAACAUUCCAGAAUAAUUCCUUGCAGAUCGUAAUUUGUUCAUUUUGAUCUGACCAUCACAGCAUCAUUUUAAUUAUUUAUCAUUGUACCUCCUGGCAUUCUAGAUGUGCUAUGCAGUAUUUCACAAAUAAUGAAACUUUAGUAAUAGGAGACUUCAUGAGAGCUGUUAAAUCUUUACUGAGAAAAAGGACAAAUUCCAGCUGGUGUCCUAUGAAUUAUGAAGUGAUCAUCUUGGCAAAAUAUAGGGUUUGCUUAGUUUGAUUCUACCUAUGUUGUCUUUGAAAUUCCCAUAAGUACUUUAGCUAUGCCUUUUUGUGCAUCGUUCGGGUAGGUAGGGAUGGCAGUCAAAGCUUGAACAAAGAAUGAGGACAAUAACCUCUUAAUGGGAAGGUAGUAUGUGUUAAAUAUGUUUUCAAAUGCCACCCUAAGUAUUGAAGAUGAAUGGAGUUCUCAUGUCACAAUUUUACCACUGAUAUAUUUCACUUGAUUUAAAUACACUCCAGUGCUCUCCCAUACUGAAUGCACAUGCAAAUAUAUUCCAGGCAUGUAUCAGGUAGUCAUGGGGCCCCUGGUGGCACAGUGCGUUAAAGCGCUGAGCUGCUGAACUUGCGGACCAAAAGGUCCCAGGUUCAAAUCCCGGGAGCGGAAUGAGUGCCCGCUGUUAGCCCCAGCUCCUGCCAACCUAGCAGUUCGAAAACAUGCAAAUGUGAGUAGAUCAAUAGGUACUGCUCCGGCGGGAAGGUAAUGGCGCUCCAUGCAGUCAUGCCGGCCACAUGAUCUUGGAGGUGUCUAUGGACAACGCCGGCUCUUCAGCUUAGAAAUGGAGAUGAGCACCAACCCCCAGAGUCGGUCACGACUGGACUUAACAUCAGGGGAAAACCUUUACCUUUGCUAUCAGGUAGUCUCAUCUCCAUUUGCACCCAGGGCUUCUCUUUGUGAAGAAGGCUCCUGGACCAGUCAGGUUUUACCUCCCUUAGCAGAGAGAAGGCCAAUACAUUGGUAUGUGCAUCCAUUGCUAAAUAUAUGGCUUCUGUAGGGGAAAAGACUGUUGAUAGAGUGUGGUGGAAAAGGUAGGGCUAGUUGUCACCUUCAUGGGCUUUCUACACUUUUCCUGCAUAUUGCCUUUUCAUUGGAAGCCCCAUCUAGGAGUUUUGUAGCAGUGUUUACUCUUUAGUACGUACUUGAAAUGCAUACUCCCAUGUGUGUUUCUCAAAUAUAUACCUGCCUCCUCCCAACACAUUCAUAGUCAACAUGAUUUUCUAGGAAUACAAAGUGUGCUUGUUUAGAAAAGAUCACAUCGAAUCUUGUCUUAUCAUUCUCUCCCUCAACAUUAUGUUAUACAUGAAUAUUUCAGAUAAAUCAUCAAUACCAAUGCUUCUGAUAUCUUCUAAAAUACAGGGUGUUUCAAAAUGAUAGACCCAACGUGCUGUACCACUUACAUAAAAAGCCUGUUUCCUCAAAUUGUCAGAACCAACAAUGAAUGUUUAAAAGCUAUUGAAACGUAUGCUGUACUGCAAUUAUUGAUUCAGUCUUGCUGAAUUGCAGAACACAAAACUGUUUGUGUUGUGUGGUUGCAAUCCUUCAAAUGACUGAGGCUGUAUGUGAUGGGAGGGGCAUCUAGCAGUAAUCAUUUGCAAAUGUGCCCUACCUUUCCAAAGGGUAAGCAUUUCAUUCAUUCACAUUUCUAGGUUACAGAGAUAUAGCUAUUUCCAUUUGGGUCCAUCUUUGAAACACCCUAUACUUGUUUAAAAUAAAACCUGAAGAGACUAUGCGAUUAUAAGAAUUGGGAGGAGGGGAUUCUUCAGCAGAAAACCAAAGGAGUGGAAAUAUUUCUGAGAUCGUCACUGUUAAGGAAUACAAGCGCAAACGUUCCACAAGAUGUACACAUAUACAAUUUUCUUCUAACAUUACCUUCAAGUCAAUUCUGUUUCAUGACAACACUAUAAUUUCUUCAGUGGAGAUUUACCAUCGCCUUCCUCGGAGAUAUAGCCUACAGCGCUGGUGGUAUUCCUUCUAAGUAUUAACCAGACCUGAUCCAGCUUACUUUCCAAGAUCUGACAGAACCUGAUGUUUUCACAUAUUUGGAUAUUGUUUUGCCCAAAACGUCUUCAUAAGAAAAAUCCAUGCAGGCCUCAUAUAAAUUAUAAAUGUGUGGUGAGUACAUUUAACAUAUCACAUGCAAACAUUGUGUUAAAUCUACUCAUUACACAUUAUGACCUACAUGGGAGCUGCACAUAUAUUUUGCACACAGAAAUAGACACUAAAAUAAUAUGGUGCAUCAGUCGCUAUAAAGGUCAUGUAAAACCAGUUUGACACAAUCAUUUAUCACCAUGGGGACUGCAGUCAAAAUAAUCAAGAGACUGGGACUUGGAAGAGCAGCUAUGUAGGAAUGUAAAGAAUGGUUAUGAAAUGUAAAGAUUUAUCACUACAUGCUAAAGUUAAGAUGAUCCAUACCAUUGAAUUCCUCACUUCUGUCUGUGGUUGUGAAAGUUGGACAAUGCAAAAAUGUUGUUAGGAAGAAAAUCAGCUCAUUUGUGGUGCUGGAGAAGUCUUUUGCAGAUGUUAUGGGCACUAGAAGAAAUCUGGCCAGAACUCUGCCUAAAAGUCAAACUGAUGAAACUGAUGGUAUCGUAUUUUGGUCACAUCAUGAGAAGAGAUGACUCAUUAAAAAUACGACAAUGUUUGGUAAAGUGGAGGGCAGUAGGAAAGAUGAAGAGUUCAUUUCAGAGGGAUACAUUCAAUGAGAUUUGAGCAAGGCUGUUGAGAAGAGGGUGACUUGGAAGUCUCUCAUUCAUAGGAUCACUAUAUAAGUUGAAGUUGACUUAAAAGCAGUUAACAACAAAAACAGGUCUGGGAGGAAAAUAUUUCCACUACAUUAAUCUUCACUGCUGUGGUUUAAAAACAUUUAGAGGGACAACCAGACAGCCCAGAAAACUCACAGCAAGUCAAUCAGAGAGAUCCUUGUUAACAUGCUUUUCACAAUAAGUUGAUUUUUUGAAAAUUCUUUGUUUUAACAUGAGAAAUAUAGGUGACUUGAUAAGACAGUAGGAAAACUCAAAAUGCAAAGUGGUAAUUUCCCUUCCAAAAUAGAUCUGUGGCGGAAAGCUUUAUGUCUCCCAAGCUUAUAGUAUUAAUGUUAUGCAUGAGUGGUUUAUUUUUUCUCUCCAUGUGAAAUAUAUCACUAGCCACUAUAGCAAAAUGUCAUUAGGCCUGAAAAGGAAUGUGGUCACUCACACUUCGUCACCCAGGAUCUUUACACUAUGAUAAUGUACGACCUGUGACAUGCAUUUUUUCAUAUGUAUAUUACUGGUGACACAGUGUGUUAAAGCGCUGAGCUGCUGAACUUGCGGACCAAAAUGUCCCAGGUUCAAAUCCCGGGAGCUGAAUGAGCGCCUGCUGUUAGCCCCAGCUCCUGCCAACCUAGCAGUUUGAAAACAUGCAAAUGUGAGUAGAUCAAUAGGUACUGCUCCGGCGGUAAGGUAACGGCGCUCCAUGCAGUCAUGCCGGCCACAUGACCUUGGAGGUGUCUACAGACAACGCCGGCUCUUUGGCUUAUAAAUGGAGAUGAGCACCAACCCCCAGAGUCAGUCACGACUGGACUUAACAUCAGGGGAAAACCUUUACCUUUACCUUAUAUUACAAAAAUCCAUGUACAUGCAUAUAUCUUACCACAUACCAUGUUUCAUAUGUACAUGCAAGUAUACCUAUGCACACAUAUAUGCGUCUGAGUGAUCGUGGUAAUAUUUUGUUUUGAAAUCUGAGCUAUAUAUGAAAGUUUAGUGUGUUUCUCACUGCCUCAUUUGAUCUUUGAGUACUGCUUUAAAAUCUGCAAGGGGGCUUUAUGUUAAUUAAUAUUAUUUUCCAUCAUUGGUUUUUGUGAUGAUUAGGCCCAGUUCUACCUAUACACAAAUCACCUAGUCUCCCAUCCUCAUUGUUUCAGUAAUGAAAAAUAGUGUUCAGCAAACUGGAAAUGCGAUUUUUCCAUUUUGAGUUAGUACUUCACACUUAAUUUUUGUCUUUCAGUGCAACCAGAAGGGGUGAAAUUAUUCGCUAGACACUAGGGCUGCGCAAAAUUAUUGUUAAUCCUCAAAAGUCAGAUCAAAUUGGCUACAUUUUUACUUACAACAUGAUAUCCUACAUGUAGGUGUGGCCCAUGCCAAAAAUUUAAGAAUCUAAACUUACCCAAUACUUUUUCAUUUGAAUUGUGUAAAUCUCAGAAGUCUCCCAAAGUCAAUUUCAUUUCGAGUGCAAGCAAGUAAAGCAAAGCCAAAAAGGCUGCAUUUCCUCUUUAAACUAAUGGUCUCUUGCCAUUAGGAGAGGGAAGCAGUAGGGAGAAAGCAGAGUUCGCUGGGAAAGAGACUGAGAAAGCACAGAAUUCUGAGAAAUGUAGUUUGAGAAGAAGAGGAGCCAUAUGGCAGAGAAUGCAAAAGGCCCUGCCCUAAGCUGCGUUUCCAAGAAUUCUGCUCAGCAUCAGAAAGCCCCAAUCAGGAAAGGGGAAGGAUUUGUCCCUCCGUAGCAGCAGCCAGGCAGAGUUCCAAUGAAUUAUUGAAUUGCCAAGAGGAGGAUUGACUGAUACUUCUAGUAAGUAAAUCUCUGUGCUGGCCUGGGAAGAAAUCUCUAAAUGGAAGUUCUAUUGCUUAAUAUGGGAGACAUUCAAUGACGUAGCUUGUGGCUUUUUAAAAAUACUUUUAGUCAAAACUUUAAAUAAUUCCCUAAAAUCAGUAGAUGUAUUAAUAUUUCAGGGGAGAAUGAUUCCAUUUUAUCUUGUGUCAUUGUAUAGAAAAUUCAAGGAGAUAGUCUUGUAAUUUUUUAAAAAAUAUUGUUUAUAAAAACUUUGAAAAUUCUCCAAAAAUCCGUGGAUAAGUGAAACAAGAUGGCACAUGUAUUUAUCCCAUGCACAUAUCCCAAUUGUGUUACUUCAAAGAAAAAAUGCUCAGAAAAUAGCAAUUACAUAUGAUCCAUCAUUAUUAUUAUUGUAAAAUUUUGAGGGUAAUUUUGAGUAAAAGCUACCAAAGUUCAUGUGCCAUUUGGACAUUCUUGUCACUUCUGAUUUUAAACUUGCUCAUCCCCUCCCGACCCCUGCUGAGUUUUCUUCCUGACUUCAACAAAACAAAAUGCUGGCCUUAAAACCCCAUCUUUUUUGAAGUAGGAACCUCAUUUACUUUCAUGCCAUUAUGUUAGUUCCCUUGGCCCUGCAGCCAUAUGAAGGAACAUUUUAAUACCUUCUUGUUUUCUAAAAUGUUCCAUUUCUUUUCCUUUUCCUGAACAGAGCUCCCCAGAGUUUGCAUGUUCAGAGCAGGGCUGUUAAUAGCUUUUAAUGAUAAUGGAACGGCUGUGAUAACUCCAGCUCUCUCUAAAGCAGAGCCCCCAAAUUGCUGACCAUUGAUCCCGCAAUAUGCAUUGGCUUGAGAAAGAAAGUAAUUUCCUCUUUUCAGUGUUCCUGUGCCUUACAGAGAAGGGAAAUCUCUCCUAACGUAUUAUAUUUCCGAGCUUGUUUUCAUUCCAUCUCAAGGAACGUGACAUGCUGUACCAUAGGGAAUCAGUUUCAUGGUGGAAUCUGCUUAAAUGAAUCUGUGAUGAAGUGACAAAAGAAAAGUCAAAGAAUAAAUUUGCAGCAUUCACCAAUUCCCAUCAAUCCUGCUACAUGACAGGGAAUGUAUCAACUAAUGAAACGGAAUAAUCUGCCCUUGUUAAAAGCCGCUGUAUAACAAUUGAUGUCUGGGGAAAGGCUGUCGACUAGCAAGCAAAUGUCUCUGUUGAUCACAAAUCUAUCACGACUGCCUCUAGAAUGGAUACAAGUUUUGAUUAGGAAUGCAUCAUCCUGUGUAAGGCCAUAUAGGAAGAGAGGCAAUGUAGCCUAUCUCCUGAAUAAAUCAAGACAGGAGAACCUUCAGGUUUUGAGUGAGAAAUUUGUCAGUCCCAAGAAUGACCAUGUUCAUUGGAGAUUAUGUAGGGGUGGUAUAAAGGUGUACAGGGUUGACUAAUGUGCUGAAAUUGGCUUCGAGAAUAAACUAUUGCAGAAAUUGGGCCCCUUUCAGUCACUGCAAUAAAUGAUGCCUCUGAUAAUAAUUAUGGUAAUAAAUAAAACCAUAUGGCUCAUUUCUGCAGUGAGUGAGCCACUGAGCAUGGGGUUUACUCUAGAAAGAAAGAAAGAAAGAAAGGAAGGAAGGAAGGAAGGAAGGAAGGAAGGAAGGAAAGAAAGAAAGAAAGAAAGAAAGAAAGAAAGAAAGAAAGAAAGAAAGAAAGAAAGAAAGAAAGAAAUUGAUAUUUCAGAAGGAAAACAAAGAGACAAAACUAAAGUGGGGUCGAACCAUCUACUGGACAUACAUUAUACAACCUCAACUUAAGAAUGUCUCAACUUAAGAGUUAAGAGCCAUUGCUCAGCUCACAUUUCUCUUUGACAUAUGAGCAGGAUUUUGAGUUAAGAGCUAGCACCAGAGGAAAUGCUAGCACAAGAGUACAGGGCAUUAGGGCUUCAAGGGAGCAGCUUCAGUGCCUCGUGCUCUUGUCCGCUUUGGAGAUUGCUGUCUGCUUUGCUCUGGUCCACUUUGAGAAACUUUGGGUUAGUUGACUUUGUGUGCUUUUUAUUCCUGGUAUGUUUGGCUUCAAGAAAAGAGAGAGGGAGAGGGGGUAAAAGAUGGAAAGAGGCAGGAAUGAGUCCAGUAUGAAGAAAAUGAUGCUUCUGCCUCCUCACUUAAUGCUUUGUGCUUCCUUGCCACAACAUUGUGCUUCUACCAUUUUACAUUGAUCUUUUUAUUGUUCCAUGUGAAUGUGCAUUUAUACAUUAUUUGUUAUUCAUAAAAUACAUUGUCUUUUUUAACAACACGUAACAAAAAAUAGGGGUGGGGUAUGGGGGACUGAAAUGGAUUAAUAGCAUUUCAAUGGCAAAAUAGCUUUGAGAUAAGAGUGAUUUUAGUUAAGAGCUCACUCAUUGAAUAAUUUGAAUGUUUAACUCAAGGUAUCACUUGUGUAUAACACGAUCCCUUGUGCAAUUCAAGGUAAGGUUUGGUUUAAGGGGCAAAGUUAUGGAUUUUGAUAUAACUUGUAGAUAAGUCAAGGGUCAUUCUACUGUGAGGGGAAAAUAACUAGAUAUGCAACUCUUUGAAUUGCACUGAUUUUCUACAUUGUGAUCUCUGUAGCUUUAUAACACUCCUUUCAUGAACGAAAGGGAUACAAGAAAAAGUAUGUCUAUUUCCAUCAGAUGGAUUGAAAGGAAACAAGAACCAACUGGGGUGAGUGGAGAAGAUCCAUGAAUGGAAUCAAAUCCCCAUUGAUGGAUAAAUGCUGGUACAUUCAGCAUUUAAUAAAGCCAUGAGUCAAGCCAAACAAUAUGGCUAUUAUAUUUCUGUGCAGAGGUGGCACCCCAAACGUGGUAAAUAAUAUCUAUUUAUUAUAGCACAGUUCCUUGCCUUUUUAUCUUGUAUUUCUCAUGUUUCUUUUUGUGAAGGUAAAGGUGGCCUUAAUAUGCCAGUCUGACAGUUGAAGGAGUGUUGUUUGAGGAAACAAUUGUCUAUGAGAAAGUAGGGCUUAUUUAGAGGGAAUCUACAUUACCUUUAACACGUAAUAUGACUAGGGUGCAUCUAUAUUGUAGAAUUAAUGCAGUUUGACACCCUUUUAAAUGCCAGGGCUCAAUGCUUGGAAUCAUGAGAGUUGUAAUUUUGUACGUUCUUUAUUCUUCUCUGCCAAAACGCACUGAUAUGUCAACAAACUGCAAAUCCCAGUAUUCCAUAGCAUUGUGCCAUGUCAGUGGUGGUGGUCAAAAUGUAUUAAUUCAACAGUGUAAAUGAACCCCCAGUCUCCAGUAGGUCAAGAAACACCUGAAACCCUCUGCACAAAAUCCCUUCUAUGAUGGUUAUGUGCAAAUAGAAUUGCAACAGGUUUUCUUAAUGUUUUUUUCAAUUUACCAUUGGGAAUUUUCCAGCAUAUUCAGCUAUCCCAGGAUAGUGUUAGGUUUGAAAAGAGCUCAGACUUUACCAUGGGUGGGAUUCUGAUAAAAAAGCCCAGUACUUACCUGUAAAUCUUUUUCUUGUUUCUAUUUUUUCAUUAAGAGGAAUGGAUCAUAAGUGUUUAAUUCCCAGCAUCAUAAGUAUAAAGAGUGAUUGGGGAAAAAAAUGGAAACCGUGAAAUCUGAGCGACGCUUUGGAGAGGGGUCUUCAGGCAGCAAAACGUGCUCCGAUUUCAAACGCACUUUACAGUCAAUGUCUGCAAAGGGGCAAAAAAUCAAUGCCAGUCUGUUUCUUGUCUAGGUACAUAAUUAGCUGGAAUCUAUGGGACUUUUAAUAAUCCAAGGCAGUAACCUUGAGUCUUGUGAAAGUUAGCGAAAAUUGAAAGCCAGGAAUGGUACAUCUGCAAUUGAAAUUGGUCCCAGUGCAACCCUCUCACUCUAAAAUUCAGCUCAUGCCAAUAAAACAGCAGAAGACACACAAUACAAUAGGAAAAUUGGCUCUUUGGGUAUCAUAGAUUCUUGUCUUAAAAGUGUUUUAACCUUGGCCGUAUGCUUUCUGAGGGCCCGGUUUCUCCCACUGGAUAAGGUACCCACAGACUCACAUAAAAAAGACUGUUUUUUAAAAAUCAUCCAACUAAAGUUAUAAAUUAAAUCUUCAAGAUAUUUAUGUAUCAGGUUGAAUAGAAUAGCUUGGGGGCAAAUGGUAAAUGUUUAAAUGCAGCAAGGAAGAAUAAUGGUGGCAAUAAAAAAUUAAAAGGUCUGUAUGAAUAAGUAUCUAUAUAUAUCAAUAUACUCAUGCAAUCACUCAAGAUAUCUGUGGAUAUAUAUUCUCAUACACACAUUUCUAUUUUUUAAUUUAUUUUUAUGGUGUAAGAGAACUAUGAAGGUCUUAACAGUAUAAUUCAGAGAGCACAUGAAAAUAUAUGUUGAAUCUCUGGGGGUUUCCUUACAAGAACAUGGUUAGCAGAGUCAGCUGGGAUGGAAUCAGGUAUAUUUGGUUUACUCUUGCAGUCUCAGUUCCAUACCUGUAAAACGAGAAUACAUGUGACCUAGUUCCCAAGUUAUUGUGAACAAGAAUACAAAAAAGCCUGGAAAAGCUGUUUCAAAUUAAAGAGAUUUUACCUUGUCUUAUCAUAUAUCUAAUCUCUCUUCCACAUGAGUACAGUUCUCCAUACAUAGGAAAGAAAACUUCACACAGAAUUCCCUGCGAUAACCAUGGUGACCAAUGUGGAGUUGCACCAAUGGGAAGAAAAGAAAGUUCUCUGCAUGAUGGGAUCAUCCAUAAAAUUUGUUAUGAACAAUCAUCAACAGCAACAGAAAGCAAAAACAAAAACAAAAAACAAAACGUCCCAAAGAACCUUGUUUAUAUCAGUACAAGAGGUGAAAGGAAAAUCUUAGAUGGGCGAAUCUGUUCACAGUUCAGUACUUAUUCUAAAUGAAAAAUUCAUAUAAUAAUAACUUUAUUUUUGUACCCCACCUCCAUUUCCCCGAAGGGACUCGGGACGGUUUACAUAUUACACAAAGAAAACACACCUUCUAUAUAGACAAUUUAGUUUUCUGCAUUUAUUUAUUUAGGCACAUAAUAAUUCAAGAAACUACAAACGGUCUUUGGAAACUAAACAUUUUUGCAAUAAGGGGAGAAAUGACAAUCUUGCUUGUUUUUGUCUGUAAGACUGAAAGUUGUGAAGAUUUAUAUCCCUAAUCUACACUACACAAUCUGCUAAAUUAAUUUUCAAAUUAUCAUUAGAUUUGAAAGAUGUUUUAGAAGAUGGUAUGUGGCAGAUGGCCCUAUGGUUCGACCACUAAUUGAAUUGAGUUCUGGUUUUGGGAGGGAAGGGAAAGAUGCAAAUGAAUACAUGAAUGAUGAUAAUUAUUGCUGUUAUUACUUUUGUUGUUUUCCUCAGUCUCAUAGUUCUAGGUGCCCUGGCCUACAAAGACUGCAGUUCAACUGCUCACUGGGAAUAGUAUGAUUUAUAAUCCAAAAUAUCUGAAUAUUGGUAGGAUGAGAGAUGUUAUUCUCUAGCAACAUAUCUAUUAAGCUGUUGUUGUGACUGCGCCUUCGGGGAUUAUGGUUGAUGGUGAUGGGAUCCGAAGAGGAAGAAAAAACCCUCGUGAUGAGGGUUCACUGGAGGAGUUGCGCAGGAAGCGACUUAGAGAGCUAUAUGGGGGAUCUUCUGAGGAAGAUUCAGAUGAGGAGUUUGGGGAAAUGGAUGCUGAGGAACAGGUGGUGGCUGGGGAAGUGGGCACUGAAUGGGCACAGCCACCGGAGAUGUCUGGGGAUUUGGGGCCUAUGGAAACUACUGAACCUGGGGUUUCUGCAGGAGCUGAUCCCACUUGGGAUGCUUGGAGAAGGGAGGAUGGUUCUUUAAGUGUUCAUGGGGCUAAGUAUGGGCAGGAUGAUUGGGACUCCGAUGAAUUGCUAGGUACUCCAGAUCCACAAGCUCUAGCUGUGUGGAGUUCGGACUCUGAGUAGAUUUGGGACACCUGGUGUUUGGGUGUGAGUGUUUGGUCACCCAGGAGGAAGGGGAAUAAAAUGGGAAUGUUUGGCCAAUGCACUUUGCGUGUGGCAAGGUGUUGCUGAGGCGCCAUUGGGAUCUCUGUGUUUCCAUGAAGACUGGACUUGGACUGUGAUUCGGAUCUGCUGAUACCAUCUGGCUUGGCUCUCGCUGUGUCUUAUCGUGGACCUGGUUUGGAUGACUGCACCCUCUUCGGACUUUGGAUUGAAUUUGACCUGGCUUCUGUCUACGCUCCCUGACUGACGACUACUCCCGGCUUCUGACUUCUGGAACUUGCUGCUGCCUCUCGACCUGACCUUGGAUUCUCCUGACGACGGCUAUUCAUCAUCCCUUUGAAGCUUCGGCUUUAUCUGCACCGUGGAAGCAGUUUACUGCUCUUCUAGUUUGUUUGUUUUUAAGCCAGUUUGCUGUUUUUCUUUUGGGAACUGUCCCUUUAACUCCGCAGAGCCAGCUGUCUGUUUUCAGAAACGGUUUGGAGCUAAAAGAAGCUUUUGCACUUUCUGUUAUACUCUGCAGCUUUUGGAAGGUUGCAAGCCUUCGUUUAUUUUGCAUGUUAUUUUGCAGUCAACUCUAUUUGUUUCUUCUAAGCUGAAUUGAAGUGUCCUUAGUUUUUAUUGAAUGCCAGCAUGGGAAAAUAGCAUGGCUUGUUUUUGUGUUAUUUUUGGCUUAUCUUCAGAAUAAACUCUGUUUUGUUUGUUAACUGG